rnacentral:lncRNA from 1 species
CUCCAGAAAGCGACGGGCGCGGCCCCUCAGGGGCGAUGCCCGAUGCCAUGCAGACCCUUCGCGGGAAUGGCCGUUUUGGAGCCCUUUCCGAGGCCCGCCGAAGCCAGCGGCCCCUGCCGUCCGCUCUAGACAUAUGUACAGAUGCCAUAUUCAGGGGUUUGGUCCGUGUCUAUUGGUGUUAACAGGGGUGCGCGUCCUGCGCUUCCAGGAGAGGGCCCCCUGACCUGGCAUUUUACCCCUGGACGCAAACCGUGAAGCCCGCAACCGUGAAACACAUUAUGCUUCUGAAAAUUCGUUACAUGCCUCCACUAUGCUUGUGCGCGAGCCCAGCAGAGCUGCGCAGGUAUGCAACUCCUGGCCAGGGGACUCUGGACUCUUGAGGUCCUGCUCCGGACUCCCUGAGUACCUACGCUGAUAACUGUGACACCUCCUAUGCAUGUAAUGCCCACCCCCUCGUGCAUGUACGGUAACACAUAUGGCCGUCUAUACUGACAGGUCGUAUGAUGCCCAUUGCGUGCGUCCCUCGGCUGGCCAGGGGCGUGCUGCCUCUGACUGUCUCCUAUGACCUGCUCACCUUCACUUCCACCUUCACUUGCACCUUCAAUACCCCUUCUGCUCGCACCUUGAUAACUUUAGCCACUUAAACUCCACUGUAAGCCUCUGUGUACAUGUACAAAUCAUAAACCUUGUCAUCACUACCAUGCUGUGCUGAUGCUCCACUCUCAGCCACGCUAUCCUUCACUCCAUUUCCAUCUCCGACUCCAUACUGCACUUUCCAGCCACGGCGUUCUUCACGGCCUUACUCUCUUCCUUGCUCACUACCAUCUGACUCCAUACUGCACUGUGCAGUACUAGGCAUGGGAGGCUCCCCUGGUUCUAAGAUAUAUGAGAAUGCUUGCCAUGAAUGCAUAACAUACCAUAAGUUUGCAUUGAAUCUCAAGGUUGCAUACGCACCCGUUCCCGAAGCGAAGCUAUAGCAGCUUGCAAGUUAUUUGACAUGGUCAGGAUGCGACAUGUGGAUAUGUGAAUUGCGACAUACGACAUUGCGACAUAAUGCACAUACCGCCCAAACGCAUCCAAACCCGCCAAACAUAUUGUGCAUGCAUUCAAUAUGCCUCUGGUAAGCGUGGAACGCCGUGGCACACAACAAAACGUGUCUCGGUUGCCACGGUGGUGGUGGCGUGGCGUAGGGUGCGGCCAGCGGGAGGAGCUUGUGGCUACGCUAGCGCAAUACACCGCCGCAAAGCUGGGAGAUGUUACUUAAAUGGGCUUCAGGACGCGUAGCUAUGCAAAUGUGGGCGAGUCUUGGUAUGUCGCAAUGUUGUAUGUCGCAUUUCACAUGUCGACAUGUCGCAACCUGACCAUGUCAAAUAAUGUGCACACAGCCAUAUAUGUGCAGUGUCGUGUGCACAUGCCGUAAGUGAUGUGCUACAAUAAUAAUACUAAUAAUAAUAAUAAUACCUACGCACGGACCAAGGUCCCGCGUGCCUUAAGGAAGAGUCCCAUCGAGGCUAACCCUACCGUAUCUCUGUGGGACCUUGGCAAGAGGCAC